GACGAACGCUGGCGGCGUGCUUAACACAUGCAAGUCGAGCGGUAAGGCCCUUUCGGGGGUACACGAGCGGCGAACGGGUGAGUAACACGUGGGUGACCUGCCUUUAGCUCUGGGAUAAGCCUCGGGAAACUGGGUCUAAUACCGGAUAUGACCCUAUGGCGCAUGUUGUGGGGUGGAAAGCCUUGUGCGGCUAGGGAUGGGCCCGCGGCCUAUCAGCUUGUUGGUGGGGUGAUGGCCUACCAAGGCGACGACGGGUAGCCGGCCUGAGAGGGCGACCGGCCACACUGGGACUGAGACACGGCCCAGACUCCUACGGGAGGCAGCAGUGGGGAAUCUUGCGCAAUGGGCGAAAGCCUGACGCAGCGACGCCGCGUGA
rnacentral:rRNA from 1 species